rnacentral:rRNA from 1 species
UGCCAGCAGCCGCGGUAAUACGGAGGGUGCAAACGUUAUCCGGAUUUAUUGGGUUUAAAGGGUCCGUAGGCGUAUGCGUAAGUCAGUGGUGAAAUCUCACAGCUCAACUGUGAAACUGCCAUUGAUACUGCGUGUCUUGAGUGAGGUUGAAGUAGCUGGAAUAAGUAGUGUAGCGGUGAAAUGCAUAGAUACUACUUAGAACACCAAUUGCGAAGGCAGGUUGCUAAGUCUCAACUGACGCUGAUGGACGAAAGCGUGGGGAGCGAACAGGAUUAGAUACCCUGGUAGUCCACGCUGUAAACGAUGCUAACUCGUUUUUGGGGAUUUAUCUUCAGAGACUAAGCGAAAGUGAUAAGUUAGCCACCUGGGGAGUACGAACGCAAGUUUGAAACUCAAAGGAACUGACGGGGGCCCGCACAAGCGGUGGAUUAUGUGGUUUAAUUCGAUGAUACGCGAGGAACCUUACCAAGGCUUAAAUGGGAAUUGAUCGGCUUAGAAAUAGACCUUCCUUCGGGCAAUUUUCAAGGUGCUGCAUGGUUGUCGUCAGCUCGUGCCGUGAGGUGUUAGGUUAAGUCCUGCAACGAGCGCAACCCCUGUCACUA